CUGCAUCCAAUUAAAUUGCUUUCCUUUACUGGUGGGUGGCCAGUAUUCAAUGGCUGCAAACAGCAACCUCCUGAGUAGUGUACUCACCUGUUGCUGGCAUGUGUUGCCCUAAGGGACCUUGCAGACCUGC
rnacentral:snoRNA from 1 species